rnacentral:rRNA from 1 species
CUCUGACGGCAGCACGGGAAGCAUCCUGGUGGCGAGUGGCGAACGGGUGAGUAAUAUAUCGGAACGUGCCCAGUCGUGGGGGAUAACGCAGCGAAAGCUGUGCUAAUACCGCAUACGAUCUACGGAUGAAAGCGGGGGAUCGCAAGACCUCGCGCGAUUGGAGCGGCCGAUAUCAGAUUAGCUAGUUGGUGGGGUAAAAGCCCACCAAGGCGACGAUCUGUAGCUGGUCUGAGAGGACGACCAGCCACACUGGAACUGAGACACGGUCCAGACUCCUACGGGAGGCAGCAGUGGGGAAUUUUGGACAAUGGGCGCAAGCCUGAUCCAGCAAUGCCGCGUGCAGGAUGAAGGCCUUCGGGUUGUAAACUGCUUUUGUACGGAACGAAACGGCUCCUUCUAAUACAAGGGGCUAAUGACGGUACCGUAAGAAUAAGCACCGGCUAACUACGUGCCAGCAGCCGCGGUAAUACGUAGGGUGCGAGCGUUAAUCGGAAUUACUGGGCGUAAAGCGUGCGCAGGCGGUUAUAUAAGACAGAUGUGAAAUCCCCGGGCUCACCUGGGACCUGCAUUUGUGACUGUAUAGCUAGAGUACGGUAGAGGGGGAUGGA